CUGUGGAGGAGAUGGAAGUGGACAUGGUGCAGGAUCAGGAAGAAAUGAUGGAGGUGGACGUGGAAGAGCAGGUUGGGAACAUGGAAGUUGAUGUGGAGGAUGACAUCGAGGAGAUGGAAGUGGACGAGAAAGAUGAGGAGGAGCCCAUGGUCCUUGGAUGAAGAUGGAGCCCCACAAGACUGCUGGAGAUGAUGGCUGUAGAUAUUACGGCGGUGUAGAUAUGUUUGAAAAGUUAGAAUUUUUAUUGUAAAUAUGUUCUUUGGUUAGUAGUUCUUUGUAAAUAUGUUUUGAAGAUUGUUAGUCCAUAGGAUCCCAUGGAAAUAUGUGCAGUAGAUUGAUGUUGUUAUAAGGAUUUUUGUAAUGGAAGGUGUUCUGUAAAUCCUCGUGUUUGCCGAUGAUCAGCAAAUAAAUAAUGAUACUUUAUAAAA